rnacentral:rRNA from 1 species
AGUGAACGCUGGCGGUAGGCCUAACACAUGCAAGUCGAACGGCAGCACAGUAAGAGCUUGCUCUUACGGGUGGCGAGUGGCGGACGGGUGAGGAAUACAUCGGAAUCUACUUUUUCGUGGGGGAUAACGUAGGGAAACUUACGCUAAUACCGCAUACGACCUACGGGUGAAAGCAGGGGAUCUUCGGACCUUGCGCGAUUGAAUGAGCCGAUGUCGGAUUAGCUAGUUGGCGGGGUAAAGGCCCACCAAGGCGACGAUCCGUAGCUGGUCUGGGAGGAUGAUUAGCCACACUGGAACUGAGACACGGUCCAGACUCCUACGGGAGGCAGCAGUGGGGAAUAUUGGACAAUGGGCGCAAGCCUGAUCCAGCCAUACCGCGUGGGUGAAGAAGGCCUUCGGGUUGUAAAGCCCUUUUGUUGGGAAAGAAAAGCAGCAGGUUAAUACCCCGCUGUUCUGACGGUACCCAAAGAAUAAGCACCGGCUAACUUCGUG